rnacentral:rRNA from 1 species
AUGGGGAAAGCCUGAUCCAGCAAUGCCGCGUGAGUGAUGAAGGCCCUAGGGUUGUAAAGCUCUUUUACCCGGGAAGAUAAUGACUGUACCGGGAGAAUAAGCCCCGGCUAACUCCGUGCCAGCAGCCGCGGUAAUAC